AUUGAACGCUGGCGGCAUGCCUUACACAUGCAAGUCGAACGGCAGCACGGGAGCUUGCUCCUGGUGGCGAGUGGCGAACGGGUGAGUAAUACAUCGGAACGUACCCUGAAGUGGGGGAUAACGUAGCGAAAGUUACGCUAAUACCGCAUAUUCUGUGAGCAGGAAAGAAGGGGAUCGCAAGACCUCUUGCUUUAGGAGCGGCCGAUGUCGGAUUAGCUAGUUGGUGAGGUAAAGGCUCACCAAGGCGACGAUCCGUAGCGGGUCUGAGAGGAUGAUCCGCCACACUGGGACUGAGACACGGCCCAGACUCCUACGGGAGGCAGCAGUGGGGGAAUUUUGGACAAUGGGCGCAAGCCUGAUCCAGCCAUUCCGCGUGCAGGAUGAA
rnacentral:rRNA from 1 species